UGAGGAAUAUUGGUCAAUGGGCGAGAGCCUGAACCAGCCAAGUCGCGUGAAGGAAGACAGUCCUAAGGAUUGUAAACUUCUUUUAUACGGGAAUAACGGGCGAUACGAGUAUUGCAUUGAAUGUACCGUAAGAAUAAGCAUCGGCUAACUCCGUGCCAGCAGCCGCGGUAAUACGGAGGAUGCGAGCGUUAUCCGGAUUUAUUGGGUUUAAAGGGUGCGUAGGUUGUUCGGUAAGUCAGCGGUGAAACCUGAGCGCUCAACGUUCAGCCUGCCGUUGAAACUGCCGGGCUUGAGUUUAGUGGCGGCAGGCGGAAUUCGUGGUGUAGCGGUGAAAUGCAUAGAUAUCACGAGGAACUCCGAUUGCGAAGGCAGCUUGCCAUACUGCGACUGACACUGAAGCACGAAGGCGUGGGUAUCAAACAGG
rnacentral:rRNA from 1 species